rnacentral:rRNA from 1 species
AUUGAACGCUGGCGGAAUGCUUUACACAUGCAAGUCGAACGAAGGCUUCGGCCUUAGUGGCGCACGGGUGCGUAACGCGUGGGAAUCUGCCCCUCGGUUCGGAAUAACAGUUAGAAAUGACUGCUAAUACCGGAUGAUGACUUCGGUCCAAAGAUUUAUCGCCGAGGGAUGAGCCCGCGUAAGAUUAGGUAGUUGGUGGGGUAAAGGCCUACCAAGCCGACGAUCUUUAGCUGGUCUGAGAGGAUGAUCAGCCACACUGGGACUGAGACACGGCCCAGACUCCUACGGGAGGCAGCAGUGGGGAAUAUUGGACAAUGGGCGAAAGCCUGAUCCAGCAAUGCCGCGUGAGUGAUGAAGGCCUUAGGGUUGUAAAGCUCUUUUACCAGGGAUGAUAAUGACAGUACCUGGAGAAUAAGCUCCGGCUAACUCCGUGCCAGCCGCCGCGGUAA